UAAACGCAAACUUAAGGUGUAAAACAUGUUUGUAUCUACGGAUUAAAUUAGUUGUUUUUCCAUAGUUGCGGAUGACUGCUUUUCCAUAUCUCAUAUUUGGGAUCCCGAUUUAAUGUUAGCAUGUUUUUUUUUAGCUAUUCCGAAUUAGACAUAACAAGCGAUAACAUCGCAUAAUUUUACAGAAAGCGGCGAGCUUUAAACGAGGAAACAUUAAAAUAUAUUUUACUCACAGCCAUACAAUGGAAUCUCUAUUACACAGAAAUAAGAGAGGGUACAUUUGGCCUGAAAUCAUAAGCAAAGAAACGAAGGAGCAACUGGAGGAAAAUGAUUGGAGCACCUUCUUGAUCAUUUUUGGCGUGGUGGCACUUGUAAUCCUAUUGACAUUACUUAUCUACAAGAUCUGGAGAUGGUCCCAGACGGCGUGCGCAAACAGGAACGUGAGGUUCCAAAAACUGCCGCCUAUAGAUUCGAUGCAAGUUGUGCAUGUCUGAGACAUUCGUGUUUUCUAGUUCAGGCUAUUUUGCUGCCAUUUCUUGCAAAAAACGACACAUGCGUUUACAUACUCAUUAAGUAAUUUGUAUAGUUCAUAUAUGUUGACUCAUAUACUGAUUGGCGAUUUACACUAAGGGCGUGUCUUUGAGGGUGCUAUACUUCGCUUAUGCGAAACAGACAAAGCUUAAAACACCUGUGUAGACGUAAUCAACCAUACUUAAUGCAUACCACAAUAGAAGAAUAUGAAGGAGAGAUCUGUCCAUAUAGACCACGGAGAUCAUUGCGAACUCACUCUGUCUUAAGGUCAUGCUUUGUCAACCUUGCAGUGGUGCAGUGUGGUGUUAGGAAGGUUCGACGAAAACACUGCCCAGGUCAAAUGUGGUUCUUGCCAAGAUUUUUGUUGGUCAGAGCCAAUUAUGUAUGGCAGAGAUUGUAAUCUUUCUGAUCUGAAAUAGAAAAUUGUAAAUUAGAGAUGGAAUAAUUAUUCGAAUAUCCGAAUAAUGGAUCGACUGAUUGAUAUUCGAAAAGUUAAAAUAUCAUAAUGACAUUAGCAAAUUGCUUUUUUUAAACACGUAAAUUUACAAUGUGAAUAAUGAAUUGUAAUUGUCUAGUUAUAUCAUCAUUAUCCAGAGGAUGAAUUUUUUUCCAUUGUUUCAAGUGGGGUAAAACACGAGAUCACAAGUUCAAAGUGUACACUUGUUUAAACAUGAUCUAAUCUUACUGUGAUAUGAAUUGCCCAUAUGAAUAUUUCCAAUUAUGCCUAAAAUGUAGGUGGUUUAGCAUGUAACUCUUAUUCUUAAAUUUGAACGAAACAAGUAAAAUGUAUUUAUGCUGACAGCUAAAAGAUUAAGAAACCAGAUACAAUCAAUUGUACCUUUGCUUACGUCCAAUUUUAAAGUGCUGAUUGGACUUUGUUUGAAACGCUCUUUUUGCGGUAAUAGUAGUAUCUUUUUAUAUUUUUAAAACCUUAUAACCGUAUUCCAAUACUCGUGUUGUUUUCUUUGUUUAAAAAUAGAAGAUAUGUAUCAGUAGUCAUGAACUUUAUCGUUGUACACACAUAAAAGUUACGCUUACUUACGAUACAGCAUUAUCCUGCAUGUUGUGCCCUUGUUAAAACUGCGUUUUUGUUGUAAUUUAACAUGUAGUUAACUGAAGACAUUUUGUGUUGACUUUGCAAUGCUUGUGUUUUUAUAUGUCAAUAGUGAUAUAUUAAUUGCUCUCUCUGUUAGCCAAAUGUAUAGAUGCAUUUCUAUCGCAAUUUUUUGUUUUGCAACCUCUUUUUUCUAUCCAAUACUUUUGUAUUAUAAUAAUGUUGACUUUUACAUAUUUUAUAACCUAACGGCUUUUAUACUCAAUUUUACAAUAGGUUGUACAAUAAAAUAUCAUCAAUAUAA